rnacentral:rRNA from 1 species
GACGAACGCUGGCGGCGUGCUUAACACAUGCAAGUCGAACGGAAAGGCCCUGCUUUUGUGGGUUGCUCGAGUGGCGAACGGGUGAGUAACACGUGAGUAACCUGCCCUUGACUUUGGGAUAACUUCAGGAAACUGGGGCUAAUACCGGAUAGGAGCUCCUGCUGCAUGGUGGGGGUUGGAAAGUUUCGGCGGUUGGGGCUGGACUCGCGGCUUAUCGGCUUGUUGGUGGGGUAGUGGCUUACCAAGGCUUUGACGGGUAGCCGGCCUGAGAGGGUGACCGGCCACAUUGGGACUGAGAUACGGCCCAGACUCCUACGGGAGGCAGCAGUGGGGAAUAUUGCACAAUGGGCGGAAGCCUGAGGCAGCAACGCCGCGUGCGGGAUGACGGCCUUCGGGUUGUAAACCGCUUUCGCCUGUGACGAAGCGUGAGUGACGGUAAUGGGUAAAGAAGCACCGGCUAACUACGUG